CUCCAGAAAUAAACCAGAAUUUUGGUGUGUACAGAAUGACCUCCAUAUUGUUGGCACUUAUUUUAUCCAUCCUACUUGUAGCUGUUCUUUUUGGAGUAGUAAUCUAUUAUUACAGGAAAAAAAGGAAUGGAAACACAGAAGGAAGACCACGAGAAACUAAUGAUUAUAGUGAACCCUAUUGUACACCAGAAAAUGUUGCUGGACCAGUCUAUGAAAACAGCGAAGCUACUGAAGUAGAAAUGGCACAUCUGUAUGACGUUAUCCAUUGAAAAACACCAAGAUGGACGAUGGUGGCUUGCUACAUUUAUAGCCAGAUCGAAUCGGUUAUUAAACAGGCAUACAAUAUGCGUGUCCGAAUAAUGUAUACAAUUUGGAAGAACCGUUCAGUAUGACGAAAUCGCUUUGUAUAUAGGCAAGUGCCUUUCAGAGGCCCCAUCCAAUGUUAAGGUUAAUAUAAAUGAAACAAAACUUUCAUAUAUGCUGAAUUUAAAUAGCCUUUUUCUAGUUUAUUGUCAUUUAUGGUGAUACUCCCAGAUUCUGGGUAUUUGCAAUAUGAUAAAUUCGAUACGGGAAAAAAACACGUGGUAUCAUAAGGAAACGCACAUUUUGCAUAAUAGUUAAUCCUUAUCUGAACCCGACACCAAUGCAGGGUAUAGAAUAGUCAUGUUUGUAAUAUGGGAAAAGAUUAUUAUACUGCUGUGUUAGUCCCAAUUUGACUGGAAAGUCUACAUAAAACUGUCCAAAUGUGUCGAGCAUUGUUGGUGCUUGUUUGCUGGAAACUUUCUUCUAAAUUGCUUUUUUUGUAUUAAUUAGGCAUGAUAUAUUGUAACAUGGAGAUAUAUUCAUCCAUAUUUAUCCAUAUUUUUAUCACAUGUAUUAGUUAAGGAGCGGGGUUUUUAUAUAGCCUAAAUUUUAGCUUUUAUUUAAACAAAAUGUAUAUGGGAUGUAGGCUGUGUACGGUCCAUACAAACAACUUGAAUGAUUUCAAAAAUAUUUGGCAAUAAGUUGACGAACUGAAGGACCAAAACAGAUGUAGAUUUCUAAUGAAUGUUGGUUUGCGGGGCCUGUAUAAAUAUGUUUAAAUAAGUUACAGGGGUAUGAAAACUGUAAAUAUCUGUUUGAGAAAAUAUGAUCUAUUGAUAGAUCUUCAACACCGGUGGGCAUUUGUUUGAUUUUAAUACUGUCAUAGUAUAUACCGCUUGCUUUUGUUUUUAUCUAAACGUGCAUUUAGUAUUGAUAGGAAUAAAUUUAUAUUUGUUUUUUUUUAUUUGUAUUUUUUUUUAGGUUAUUUUUUUUGUCUUUUUUAAAGUUUCUAUUUGUCUUUUAUAAAGUUUGUAUUUUUCUUUUAUAAAGUUUGUAUUUUUCUCUUUUAAAGUUUUUACUUGUAUA